UACGAAGGGCCCGAGCGUUAAUCGGAUUCACUGGGCUUAAAGAGUGCGUAGGCGGAUGCGUAAGUGUCGGGUGAAAUUCCAUGGCUUAACCAUGGAACGGCAAGGCAUACUGCGCGUCUUGAGGUCGGUAGGGGUUGCCGGAACUCUAGGUGUAGCGGUGAAAUGCGUAGAUAUCUAGGGGAACGCCAAUGGUGAAGACAGGCAACUGGGCCGAUUCUGACGCUGAGGCACGAAAGCGUGGGGAGCAAACAGGAUUAGAUACCCUGGUAGUCCACGCUGUAAACGAUGCACACUAGGUCCGGGAGGUUCUGACACCACCCGGGCCGAAGCAAAAGUGGUAAGUGUGCCGCCUGGGGAGUACGGUCGCAAGGCUAAA
rnacentral:rRNA from 1 species